GCCAGGCAUGGUGGCUCAUGCCUGUAAUCCCAGCACUUUGGGAGGCUGAGAUGGGUAGAUCACCUGAGGUCAGGAGUUUGAGACCAGCCUGACCAACAUGGUGAAACCCCAUCUCUA
ensembl:misc_RNA Metazoa_SRP Metazoan signal recognition particle RNA